UAAGGUUCGCGUGAUUCUUCUUUGUGUGUAAAGAUUCCAAACGGACUCCGUUAUAUAUUUAACAAUUAAAGUGAAGAAUGUGUAUCUACAUAUUUGCGAUUGUGAAAAAUAAAUAAUACAAUUGUGUAACUCUUGCAACUAAUAAAUUGAAAGGUGCAAAGGACUUAUUUUUUCCUGGAAUAUUGCCAAUAUCAUAAACAGAAAAGAGAGAUGAUUCAUGAUUUUUUAUGGCCGGAAUUGGAUGGUAUUGAUUUGGACAACGUUUAUUUUCAACAAGACGGCGCUACGUGCCACACAAGCAACAAAACCAUUGAUCUUUUACGGGAAAAGUUUCCGGGCCGUGUUAUCUCUCGAAGAGGUGAUCACAAUUGGCCACCGAGAUCUUGUGAUUUAAAAUCUCGUGGCUUUUUUUUUUUUUGGGGCCACGUGAAAGACAAAGUCUACGCCAGCAGCCCAGGGUCGAUUCAAGACCUUAAAGAUGGAAUUUGUGAGGCUAUCGAGGGCAUGGGGCAGCCACUUUGUAAUUCGGUUAUGGAAAAUUUCAUGAAAAGAAUAUUGUCCUGUAAGCGUGGCCGUGGAGGUCGUUUGCCUGAUGUUAUUUUCCACUAUUAACGGCAUACCUUCCUCUUCUUAAUGAAAUAAACAUCCGAUCAUUCAUAUUAAAAAAUAGCAUUUUUCUUUGAAUACCAAAAUGACACCUCUUAUUAAAAAGCCCUAUAUAUACCAAUCCUAAAACCAAGCCGUAGGUGUUAUACUAUAUAAUUGGCGCUUACCCCUUUUUAGGUGUUUGGCCGAAUUCCUCCUCCUAUUUGAGAUAUACGUCUUGAUGUUGUUCCAUAAAUGGA